rnacentral:rRNA from 1 species
UACGCAGGAGGCAAGCGUUAUUCGGAAUUAUUGGGCGUAAAGCGUCCGCAGGUGGCACCUCAAGUCUGCUGUCAAAGACCGGGGCUUAACCCCAGAAAGGCAGUGGAAACUGAAGUGCUAGAGUGCAGUAGGGGUAGAGGGAAUUCCCGGUGUAGCGGUGAAAUGCGUAGAGAUCGGGAGGAACACCUGUGGCGAAGGCGGCCAUCUGGACAACUACUGACACUGAGACGCGAAAGCGUGGGUAGCAAACAGG